rnacentral:rRNA from 1 species
CGCAAGAAGGACAUCACUCGCAGAAGAAGCACCGGCUAACUCCGUGCCAGCAGCCGCGGUAAUACGGAGGGUGCAAGCGUUAAUCGGAAUUACUGGGCGUAAAGCGCGCGUAGGCGGCUUGAUAAGCCGGUUGUGAAAGCCCCGGGCUCAACCUGGGAACGGCAUCCGGAACUGUCAGGCUAGAGUGCAGGAGAGGAAGGUAGAAUUCCCGGUGUAGCGGUGAAAUGCGUAGAGAUCGGGAGGAAUACCAGUGGCGAAGGCGGCCUUCUGGACUGACACUGACGCUGAGGUGCGAAAGCGUGGGUAGCAAACAGGAUUAGAUACCCUGGUAGUCCACGCCGUAAACGAUGUCGACUAGCCGUUGGGGUCCUCGAGACCUUUGUGGCGCAGUUAACGCGAUAAGUCGACCGCCUGGGGAGUACGGCCGCAAGGUUAAAACUCAAAUGAAUUGACGGGGGCCCGCACAAGCGGUGGAGCAUGUGGUUUAAUUCGAUGCAACGCGAAGAACCUUACCUACUCUUGACAUCGAGCGAACUUUCCAGAGAUGGAUUGGUGCCUUCGGGAACGCUCAGACAGGUGCUGCAUGGCCGUCGUCAGCUCGUGUUGUGAAAUGUUGGGUUAAGUCCCGUAACGAGCGCAACCCUUGUCCCUAUUUGCCAGCGAUUCGGUCGGGAACUCUAGGGAGACUGCCGGUGACAAACCGGAGGAAGGUGGGGACGACGUCAGGUCAUCAUGGCCCUUACGAGUAGGGCUACACACGUGCUACAAUGGCCGGUACAAUGGGCUGCAAUCCCGCGAGGGGGAGCUAAUCUCAUAAAGCCGGUCUCAGUCCGGAUCGGAGUCUGCAACUCGACUCCGUGAAGUCGGAAUCGCUAGUAAUCGUGCAUCAGAAUGGCACGGUGAAUACGUUCCCGGGCCUUGUACACACCGCCCGUCACACCAUGGGAGUGGACUGCACCAGAAGUGGUUAGCCUAACUUCGGAGGGCGAUCACCACGGUGUGGUUCAUGACUGGGGUGAAGUCGUAACAAGGUAGCCGUAGGGGAACCUGCGGCUGGAUCACCUCCUUAAU